rnacentral:sRNA from 1 species
UCUGAGACUAGGGCCAGAAGUGGCUCUACCAGAGCCCUUCCUGAGUUGCCAGGAAAUGAAUUCCAAGAGAAUGGGGCUCUACAUGGGGGAGUGACUGAACAGUUGUUUGCUGAGGACAGUAGGCACCUGACUCCUGGAUUCAGUCAGCAAUCUCAGAGGAACUCAUGAUGAGAAAUGCAAUUAUCCAAGAAGGAUGUAGAAGAUCCUUUUU